GUUAGCUCAGCUGGUUGGAGCACGGUGCUGAUAACACCAAGGUUGCAGGUUCGGUUCCCGUAAGGGACA